CCGGGUAUAGUCCAUGAAGUCUUUUUUGUGGAGGUCCCAAAGGCGAGUAACCUCCACGGUGGCUUCCGAAUGGCUCUUCCUCAGCUUGUGAAGUUUGUCGUCCAUCUUCUUUGAUUUCUUCGUUAGGUGAUGCACUUCCCUUCUGAGAUCCCGGAUCAUUGACUUCAAAGGAAUCCCCUGCGGUAGGGGAAGAGCUUCGGCAGGACACU
rnacentral:lncRNA from 1 species